GCCUGCUUAGCUUAGUUGGUAGAGCGUCCGCUUAGUAAGCGGGCGGUCGUGAGUUCGAUUCUCACAGUAGGCU